rnacentral:tRNA from 1 species
GGCUUGGUUGGCAGCGCGUCUGCCUUGUAAGCAUUAAGCCGCGGGUUCGAUUCCCGCCAGGGCCG